rnacentral:rRNA from 1 species
GACGAACGCUGGCGGCGUGCUUAACACAUGCAAGUCGAACGGAAAGGCCUGCUUUCCCUUGUGGAUUGCGGGUACUCGAGUGUCGAACGGGUGAGUAACACGUGAGUGAUCUGCCCCCAACUUGGGUAUAAGCCUGGGAAACUGGGUCUAAUUCCCGUUAGGACUGCAGGGUGGUUCCUGUGGUUGAUAACGAUUUUCUAGUGGUUGGGGAUGAGCUCUCGGCCUAUCAGCUUGUUGGUGUGGUAAUGGCCUACCAAGGCGUCGACGGGUAGCCGGCCUGAGAGGGGGGACGGCGAGAUUGGGACUGAGAUACGGCGCAGACACCGACGGGAGGCAGAAGUGGGGAAGAUGGCAAAAGGGGCGGAAGACUGAUGCAGCGACGAGGAGUGGGGGAUGAAGGCCUUCGGGUUGUAAACUCCUUUCGACCGAGAGGAAGACACCUGGAUGGAAGGGUGGUGACGGUAGUGGUAGAAGAAGCACCGGCUAACUACGUG